AAACCCUGAUUAUAAUCCGCCUGGGUAUUACGAACAUAGUUUAAAACCCAAAGGACCUGGCGGCGCUUUAUACCACCUAGAGGAGCCUGUCCUGUAACCGAUAACCCCCGUUAAACCUCACCUUUUCUAGCACUAGACAGUCCGUAUACCGCCGUCUUCAGCACGCCCCCUAAGGGAAAUAUAGCUGGCAAAAUUGGACACAUCCCAAGACGUCAGGUCGAGGUGCCGCUUAUGAAAAGGGAUGAGAUAGGCUACAUUCACUAAUUAAUAGUGCACACGAAUAAUGCAUUGAAACAUGCUAUAGAAGGAGGAUUUAGAAGUAAGUGUAAAAUAGAGAAUCCA
rnacentral:rRNA from 1 species